CCUACGGGAGGCAGCAGUUAGGAAUAUUGGACAAUGGGCGAAAGCCUGAUCCAGCCAUGCCGCGUGUGUGAUGAAGGCCCUAGGGUUGUAAAGCACUUUCGUUGGGGAUGAUAAUGACCGUACCCAAAGAAGAAGCACCGGCUAACUUCGUGCCAGCAGCCGCGGUAAUACGAAGGGUGCAAGCGUUGUUCGGAAUCACUGGGCGUAAAGAAUGCGUAGGCGGCUUAACAAGUCGGGAGUGAAAUCCCAGGGCUCAACCCUGGAACUGCUCUCGAAACUGUUUUGCUAGAGUCCCGGAGGGGUUUAGCGGAAUUCCGAGUGUAGAGGUGAAAUUCGCAGAUAUUCGGAGGAACACCAGUGGCGAAGGCGGCUAACUGGACGGGAACUGACGCUGAGGCAUGAAAGUGUGGGGAUCAAACAGGAUUAGAUACCCUGGUAGUCCACACCGUAAACGAUGUGUGCUAGUUGUCGGGUCAGCUUUGCUGUUCGGUGACGGAGCUAACGUUUUAAGCACACCGCCUGGGAAGUACGGCCGCAAGGUUAAAACCNCAAUGAAUUGACGG
rnacentral:rRNA from 1 species